GGAUGUAGCUCAUUGGUACAGUUUUUGCCUAGCAUGCAUGAGGCCCUGAGUUCAAUUCCUAGUACCA
rnacentral:tRNA from 1 species